GAAAGCGCCAACAAAAGCCUAAGCUCACUCCUGGUCAAGUCCAAGGCCCAAAAUGUUGGGUAUUUCGUACGGAGAGCUCUUCCUCUUGAUCGGAGCCACGGCUGCUCUUGUCGGACCAAAGGAUUUGCCUAGAAUUGCUAGAACAGCAGGGCGGCUAGCGGGUCGGGCAAUCGGUUAUGUUCAGUUAGCUCGUGGCCAAUUCGAAAAUGUUAUGCAGCAAUCUCAAGCUCGCCAGGUUCAUAAAGAACUUCAAGAUGCACUGGCACAAUUAGAGUCGAUUCGAUAUGAAAUUCGAAGCAUAUCACUUAUGAAUCCUGGUCCUCUGACUAGGAAGCUGAUGGACAAUCCUCAAGACCUGGCUCCUAAAGGGUCCAACGGGUCACUUGAGAAGCCCGAGGAAGAGCUGAUGUCAACAAGUACUGUGCUGAAGGAUAGAACCCCCGAGUCAGUUAAUUUGCAUAGCCAAGCAACUGCUUAUGAAAGAUUGGCUGAAUCCGAUGCCGUGAAGACUGGCUCUUUGAAGAGAAGUGCAGAGAAAGAGAACCUUAGUGAUGAAGGUGGUCUUUUUGCUGUUCUCCCAGUUUCAGCUGAAAGCACUGGGAUGCUACCAAAUCGCAAGGAGAAUGUUGAAGGAUCAGACAUUGUGUUGGAAGCAAUACUUGAAGCAGAGGUAGCACGCAAUGCCAAAGAUUUCUUUUCACAGCCUGCAAAUCAAAUACAGUGAAAUGAGAAGGUGAUUGAUCGAGCUUGCUCCUAAAUAUUGUUUAACUAAACUCCUCGUCGGCAUGAUCAGCUGAAAGAUGAACAUGCUCUUUCCUUGUUGAUAAACGGAGGACAAUAUAUAGGGAUUGGUUUUGAGAGAAUUACCGGCUACAAUGAGGGCUGCACUGGUUUGUUUGUUACAAAAAAUAGGAUGGGGGUCAUGGGAGAGGAAUAAUAUUGGGUCAAGACUGGGCUCAAAAGUAAAUCCCAGAUCGAACUCUUCUUGAGUUGGGUUGGCUUGUUCUAAUACUGGGUUUGGACAAGGCCAUUACCCAAUAGGGCCAUGCCCUUUGUUUGUUGAAGAAGAGGAUUCGAACUUGGGUGCAAGAGUCCGGGUUCACCCCAUAAAUAACUGGCCUAACACGCGUUUGCAAUACUCCAAUCAUUUUAAGUACAUAAGAUAUGACGGGGACGAAGGUGGAGCCAACUUUAUGGUACUUCUGAAUUAGAGUAGUAUAUAUAGGUUAUGAGUUGAUCAUUUACCUAUUGCGAAAACUAUCGAUACUCUGAAUUCGGUGUAAUUAAUAGGAGAUGUAUUGGACUUUUCAAUUCGAUAAUCCGAAUCUGGUAGUUUGAUUACAAAUGGA